AACGAACGCUGGCGGCAUGCCUAACACAUGCCAGUCGAACGAGACCUUCGGGUCUAGUGGCGCACGGGUGCGUAACGCGUGGGAACCUGCCCUUAGGUUCGGAAUAACUCCCCGAAAGGGGUGCUAAUACCGGAUAAUGUCUUCGGACCAAAGAUUUAUCGCCUUUGGAUGGGCCCGCGUUGGAUUAGCUAGUUGGUAGGGUAAAAGCCUACCAAGGCGACGAUCCAUAGCUGGUCUGAGAGGAUGAUCAGCCACACUGGUACUGAGACACGGCCCAGACUCCUACGGGAGGCAGCAGUGGGGAAUAUUGGACAAUGGGCGAAAGCCUGAUCCAGCAAUGCCGCGUGAGUGAUGAAGGCCUUAGGGUUGUAAAGCUCUUUUACCCGGGAUGAUAAUGACAGUACCGGGAGAAUAAGCGCCGGCUAACUCCGUG
rnacentral:rRNA from 1 species